rnacentral:RNase_P_RNA from 1 species
UAAAUUUCUGGUAAUCGCGGUCUAUGUAUAUAGGCUGAGGAAAGUCCAAGCUUGCACAGGCUGAGAUGCCUGUAGUGAUCGUACUUGCUGAAAAAAUAAGGCAAGGCACUGCUUUUAGUAGUGACGGCAGACAAAAGAGCUAAGGUUUCGGCUAUGCUUGAGUAGUCUUGAAAAGUGCCACAGUGACGAAGUAAUAUAGGAAACUGUAUUAGUGGAACGCGGUAAACCCUGCGAGCAGGUAACCCAAACUUUGGUAGGGGCGCUUCAUGACGGAAAUGAACUAAUCAUGGGGGCGAGUUUUUUAACUCGGAGAUAGAUGAUUACCACCGAUUCUAAUUUUCCUGAAUUAGAUGACGUACAGAACGUGGCUUAUAGAGAUU